CUACGUAAGAGAGCGCUUGAGAGACUUUUUGGUAGACAGUCUAGAGGCGACGCACAUGCCUCUACGUCAGAACGUAGAGAUGCUACACAUGACUUACCGCCACAGGACACAGGUAGCGGAGAUGCUUCACAUGAUGCGGAGGCACAGGCUGAUGCUACACAGCAUGCUGAGAUACCGUCGCCUCCGCGACCUCUGCGUGCAGAUGUAUUGGAGGAGCGAAGAUAUGAGCCGUAUAGUGCAGCUGUAGAAGCUACGCCACUACCACCAGAUUCUAUUCCAGAUCAGCGAGUCCACGACCCGGCCAAGGUGAAGGGGAUUGAGAAUCUUAUCAUGCUUUACAACCUAUCGCGUAGCGUAGGUACGAACAAGCAAGGCGUAGAUACAUCGAACUGAAAGGUACCAGGCGACCUCCUAGGCGCGACCGCAGUGCUACCAAGCCACAGAACCUCAUCCCUG